GGCUGAGAUUGUGCAGUUCUAAGGAGAUGCCAGGUGGUGCCAAUUCUGCUGCACUGGACACCACACUUAGAGUGGCGAGGUCACUAAAUAAUAGGAGCGAAAGGAUUGUGAGAACACCAACAUCAGUGAGAAGGAGGCUGGCUGCAGAGACCAUGAAAAUGAAAUCUAUGCAUGGAGUGCAACCUUGCUGAGAACAUUGGUUUACUUUCUAUAUUGUCUCUCCAUGGCCUGCUCAUUCCCUUCAGGUUUCAAGCCUUUCCCCAAAGACAACCACAGUCAGGAGUAUGCUUCCAGAUCUUCUUCUAGGAAAAAUGAGUGUUCAUUGCAGGAAGUCAGGGACCCCAAAUGGAGAGACCAGCUGGAGCCACAGCAGAGGAUCAUAAAUUGUGAAGAUUUCAUUUUAAUAUGGACAUUUAUCAAUUCCUAAAUAAUAUUUUUAUAAU